rnacentral:tRNA from 2 species
GCGGGUGUAGCUCAAUGGUAGAGCCCCAGCCUUCCAAGCUGGUGGUGUGGGUUCGAUUCCCAUCACCCGCUCCA